rnacentral:rRNA from 1 species
UACGAAGGGGGCUAGCGUUGCUCGGAAUCACUGGGCGUAAAGCGCACGUAGGCGGAUUGUUAAGUCAGGGGUGAAAUCCUGGAGCUCAACUCCAGAACUGCCUUUGAUACUGGCGAUCUUGAGUCCGGGAGGGGUGAGUGGAACUGCGAGUGUAGAGGUGAAAUUCGUAGAUAUUCGCAAGAACACCAGUGGCGAAGGCGGCUCACUGGCCCGGUACUGACGCUGAGGUGCGAAAGCGUGGGGAGCAAACAGG